AACGAACGCUGGCGGCAGGCCUAACACAUGCAAGUCGAGCGAGGACUUCGGUCCUAGCGGCGGACGGGUGAGUAACGCGUGGGAACGUGCCCUUUGCUUCAGAAUAGCCCUGGGAAACUGGGAGUAAUACCGGAUGAGCCCUUUGGGGGAAAGAUUUAUCGGCGAAGGAUCGGCCCGCGUUGGAUUAGGUAGUUGGUGGGGUAAUGGCCUACUAAGCCGACGAUCCAUAGCUGGUUUGAGAGGAUGAUCAGCCACACUGGGACUGAGACACGGCCCAGACUCCUACGGGAGGCAGCAGUGGGGAAUCUUAGACAAUGGGGGAAACCCCGAUCUAGCCAUGCCGCGUGAGCGAUGAAGGCCUUAGGGUUGUAAAGCUCUUUCAGCUGGGAAGAUAAUGACGGUACCAGCAGAAGAAGCCCCGGCUAACUCCGUG
rnacentral:rRNA from 1 species